AGGGCGCAGGGCGAAUGCCUUGGCACUGGGAGCCGAUGAAAGACGUGAUAAGCUGCGAUAAGCUUCGGGGAGCUGCAAAUAAGCAUUGAUCCGGAGAUCUCUGAAUGAGGAAACUCACUCGGGUUCAUACCUGAGUACGUUGUACUGAAAUUCAAAAUAGGUACAUCGGGGGAACCGCCUGAACUGAAACAUCUAAGUAGGGCGAGGAAGAGACAUCAAACGAGAUUCCGUAAGUAGUGGCGAGCGAACGCGGAAGAGGGCAAACCGAAGGUAGAAAUACCUUCGGGGUACGGACUGCUUUUAGGACUCGAUCUGUUAACCGAACGGCAUGGGAAGGCCGGUCAGAGAGUGUGAGAACCACGUAGGUGAAAACGGAAAGAGCUGCGCAGAUUCCAGAGUACGGCCAGACACGUGAAACCUGGUCGGAAGAUGGGGGGACCACCCUCCAACCCUAAAUACUACCCAGUGACCGAUAGCGUAUAGUACUGUGAAGGAAAGGUGAAAAGCACCCCGGGAGGGGAGUGAAAAAGAACCUGAAACCCUGUGCCUACAAGCACCUAGAGCACGUCAAAGUGUGAUAGGGUACUUUUUGUAGAACGGUCCGGCGAGCGAUUGUAUGCAGCAAGGUUAAGGACUUAAGGUCUGGAGCCGAAGCGAAAGCGAGUUUGAAAAGGGCGUUAAGUUGCAUAUAAUGGGCCCGAAACCGGGUGACCUACCCAUGGUCAGGUUGAAGUGGAAGUAAAAUUCCAUGGAGGACCGAACCGACCUCCGUUGAAAAGGCGGCGGAUGAACUGUGGGUAGCGGAGAAAUUCCAAUCGAACCCGGAGAUAGCUGGUUCUCCCCGAAAUAGUUUUAGGACUAGCCUCAAGUUAGAUACCUGGAGGUAAAGCACUGAAUAGCCUAGCGGCCGAGAGGUUAGCGAAGCUUAUCAAACUCAGAAUGCCAGAGUAUUGAUGCUUGGGAGUCAGACAGUGUCAGAUAAAUGUCAUUGUCAAAAGGGAAACAGCCCAGAUCUACAGCUAAGGUCCCAAAGUCAGGUUAAGUGGAAAACGAUGUGAAGAUACGCAGACAACCAGGAUGUUGGCUCAGAAGCAGCCACUCAUUCAAAGAGUGCGUAAUAGCUCACUGGUCGAGCGUCUUUGCGCGGAGAAUUUAACGGGGCUAAACCUGACACCGAAGCUUAGGCAAUCCAGCAAUGGAUUGGGUAGGGGAGCGUUGUAUACGCGGAGAAACAGUAGCGUAAGCGGCUGUGGAGUGUAUAGAAGUGAGAAUGCCGGAAUGAGUAGCGCGAAUGCAGUGAGAAUCUGCAUGGCCGAAAGCCUCAGGUUUUUGGAGGAAGGUUCGUCCGCUCCAAGUUAGUCGGGAGCUAAGGUGAGGCCGGAAGGCGUAGCCGAUGCACAGACGGUAGAGAUUCCGUCACCACCAAAAGAGUUAAGCACAGGGACACAUUUGAAGUCUCAGAGCCGGGUGUUGGUUCCGGUAGAGAUCGAGGGAAGUUAGUACCGAAGUCUGGGAUGGAGGAUGGCGAGAAAAGCUGUGUGUAUUUCUGAGGUGCCCGUACCGCAAACCGACACAGGUAGGUAGGAAGAAGAUUCUAAGGCCAACGGGAGAAGGGUUGUUAAGGAACUCGGCAAAUUGACCCCGUAACUUCGGGAGAAGGGGUGCUCCAGAGAUGGAGCCGCAGAGAAUCGGCCCAAGCAACUGUUUACCAAAAACACAGGUUUGUGCUAAAUCGAAAGAUGACGUAUACGAGCUGACGCCUGCCCGGUGCUGGAAGGUUAAGAGGAGAUGUGCAAGCAUUGAAUCGAAGCCCCAGUGAACGGCGGCCGUAACUAUAACGGUCCUAAGGUAGCGAAAUUCCUUGUCAGGUAAGUUCUGACCCGCAUGAAAGGCGUAAUGAUUUGGGCACUGUCUCAACAGCCCGCCCGGCGAAAUUGUAGUACCGGUGAAGAUGCCGGUUACCCGCGACAAGACGGAAAGACCCCAUGGAGCUUUACUGUAGCCUAAUAUUGGGUUUCGAUGUUGCAUGCACAGGAUAGAUGGGACACUGGGAAACAAUCGCUUUGGCGGUUGCGGAGUGGCCGUUGGGAUACCAUCCUUGCGAUAUUGGAAUUCUAACCUGCGGCUCUGAAUCGAGUCGGGGGACAUUGUUAGGUGGGCAGUUUGACUGGGGCGGUCGCCUCCUAAAAAGUAACGG
rnacentral:rRNA from 1 species